rnacentral:ncRNA from 2 species
UAAGGAUUACAUAACUGGCGGAUUCGUGGGUCACCACAAGGGAAUGUAAUCUGUUAUCGCCGACCGCCUGGGCAUCUUGU